UUUCUUGUUUUGCCUAUGUGUGACUUGGGUGAAACUUUUGCAUCUGAUGAUCGUCUCUGCAACUCCAUAUUGUUUUCUCAGUGAUCUUAAGAAAACUCUGAACGGUUCCAUAUUGAUCCUUUGAGUUCAGAUGGAUAUGCAUCCACCAGUGAAUGGUCAGAAGACAUCUAGACUCUGGCGAAGUCUAACAUCAUAUCAAGCCUCUUCUUCUCCAGACCUGACACUCAAGUUAUCUAUAUCGAACCCACCACUGGUAUCCUGCGUUACAAUGGGAAUGGCAUUGUUGCUCGUUUGGCUAGUCUCAAGCAAAAGGUAUUCAGCUUUCUUCUUUCUAAGACUUUCUUGAGGUUUAUAUCUUCUGAUAAUCCUUUUUAUAUGUUAAAUUGACCAUUUGAUGAUGCUAAGUGUGUUCAUAAGCUUUAAUAUCCUCAUUUCCCUCCCUGCUUGUUCGCACACUCUUUGUUACAGAAGUAGCGUUUCUUUCUUCCUUCUUACAUUUAUAUCUAUGCUGCUGACCUUUUGAAGUAACUCUAGCAUCUUACUUUGCAUAACCGUAGAUGGUCAAGCUCAUUCUUUCUUCAACAUUUUUCAUUAUCUUCAAUAUCAUCAUUAUGUGACCUUUUGCAGCUUCAAACAGGGCUAUUAUUGUUUUCUUACUUGUUGCAGUGUUAUAAUUUUUGACAACAUCUCAUGUAUUAGUACUAGUUGGAUUGAGAGUUGCAGUAAUGUCCACAUAAUCAUUCAGUU